GAUGAACGCUGGCGGCGUGCUUAACACAUGCAAGUCGAACGGUGAACGAGGGAGCUUGCUCCCUCCGGAUCAGUGGCGAACGGGUGAGUAACACGUGAGUAACCUGCCCUUGACUCUGGGAUAAGCGUUGGAAACGACGUCUAAUACCGGAUACGACCUUCGGAGGCAUCUCCUGAGGGUGGAAAGAAUUUCGGUCAAGGAUGGACUCGCGGCCUAUCAGCUAGUUGGUGAGGUAAUGGCUCACCAAGGCGACGACGGGUAGCCGGCCUGAGAGGGUGACCGGCCACACUGGGACUGAGACACGGCCCAGACUCCUACGGGAGGCAGCAGUGGGGAAUAUUGCACAAUGGGCGCAAGCCUGAUGCAGCAACGCCGCGUGAGGGACGACGGCCUUCGGGUUGUAAACCUCUUUUAGUAGGGAAGAAGCGAAAGUGACGGUACCUGCAGAAAAAGCACCGGCUAACUACGUGCCAGCAGCCGCGGUAAUACGUAGGGUGCAAGCGUUAUCCGGAAUUAUUGGGCGUAAAGAGCUCGUAGGCGGUUUGUCGCGUCUGCUGUGAAAACCCGAGGCUCAACCUCGGGCCUGCAGUGGGUACGGGCAGACUAGAGUGCGGUAGGGGAGAUUGGAAUUCCUGGUGUAGCGGUGGAAUGCGCAGAUAUCAGGAGGAACACCGAUGGCGAAGGCAGAUCUCUGGGCCGUAACUGACGCUGAGGAGCGAAAGCAUGGGGAGCGAACAGGAUUAGAUACCCUGGUAGUCC
rnacentral:rRNA from 1 species